CCUACGGGGGGCGGCAGUAGGGAAUCUUCCACAAUGGACGCAAGUCUGAUGGAGCAACGCCGCGUGAGUGAAGAAGGGUUUCGGCUCGUAAAGCUCUGUUGUUGGUGAAGAAGGACAGGGGUAGUAACUGACCUUUGUUUGACGGUAAUCAAUUAGAAAGUCACGGCUAACUACGUGCCAGCAGCCGCGGUAAUACGUAGGUGGCAAGCGUUGUCCGGAUUUAUUGGGCGUAAAGCGAGUGCAGGCGGCUCGAUAAGUCUGAUGUGAAAGCCUUCGGCUCAACCGGAGAAUUGCAUCAGAAACUGUCGAGCUUGAGUACAGAAGAGGAGAGUGGAACUCCAUGUGUAGCGGUGAAAUGCGUAGAUAUAUGGAAGAACACCGGUGGCGAAGGCGGCUCUCUGGUCUGUUACUGACGCUGAGGCUCGAAAGCAUGGGUAGCGAACAGGAUUAGAUACCCUGGUAGUCCAUGCCGUAAACGAUGAGUGCUAAGUGUUGGGAGGUUUCCGCCUCUCAGUGCUGCAGCUAACGCAUUAAGCACUCCGCCUGGGGAGUACGACCGCAAGGUUGAAACUCAAAGGAAUUGACGG
rnacentral:rRNA from 1 species